UACGAAGGGUGCAAGCGUUAAUCGGAAUUACUGGGCGUAAAGCGUGCGUAGGCGGUUUGUUAAGUCUGUUGUGAAAUCCCCGGGCUCAACCUGGGAAUGGCAAUGGAUACUGGCAAGCUAGAGUGUGUCAGAGGAUGGUGGAAUUCCCGGUGUAGCGGUGAAAUGCGUAGAGAUCGGGAGGAACAUCAGUGGCGAAGGCGGCCAUUUGGGACAACACUGACGCUGAGGCACGAAAGCGUGGGGAGCAAACAGG
rnacentral:rRNA from 1 species